CCGGCCCACCUGCAGCUCCUCGGUCUCCCUGCUCAGUCAGGCCUGGCAUCCCCUCCCCGAAGAACCUGGAUCAUCCAGGAAACCACCCCCACGGAUCCAUUUCCUGUCCAUCGGAAGCUAUCUCUACCGCACCGUACAAAAUAAACCAUUUUUACUUA